rnacentral:lncRNA from 1 species
GUGGUGGGAGACAUAUGAACUUUCUUUGCUCCUAUAUGUAUUAGUCAUGUUCAUCAUUUUGAAUAAUAUCAUUGGUUGGGGAAAGGAACAAUGGCUUAGUAUGCUUUUUGCAAUAUUUCAGGAAGGAGCACUCAGAGAUAGAUGUGACUUCAGGAUUUUUUGUUCUGUUUUGGUUCAGGUAAAUAAAUACCUUUCUCCCUAUUUUUUGCAUAUAUGGUGCAUAUUCAGCGAGAAUACGUGGUGAUUGUGAGAAAUUUGGGUUAUUAGAACCAAAUAGGCUGUCCUGUUUAUUCUAAAUAAAACUUUAUCAGCGAUUCUUGAUGCAUUAUUAUUCUGUGUAAAGGUUGAACUUCCACACAGUAUAUGGUAGGCCUAGGUAUUGUCUACCCUUAAAGCUUAAAAGGUGUUUGAGUGAUGAGCCAUAUUAGAUAUAGAACCAUUUGAGCCUUCACCCAAUGACUUAAGCCUAUUGGAGAGUUAGUGCUUGAGUUGUUGUCAUGUCUUGAGAAUUACAAACAAUCCUAUAGAACAUGGACAGCAUAAAAGUAAUAUUUAGCUACCUCACUAAGCUUUUCGUCUCCAAAACUAAGUUCCUUAGAAUGACACAAGGGUCUAAGAAAAUGCAUAUAAUAUAUCAAUCUACAUAUUCAAACAGCUAUUUCCUAUUGCAAUUAUGCUCACAUCACAUAUACAACACACUGCACAGAUGACAGAACCACCCAAAAAUAAUAGCAAGCAUAUGCUAUGGCUUUUCAAAUGCACCUAUUCCGUGAGUAUAAUAUACAAUUUUAACCUCACCUAGUCAAAAGACCAAUGUUGGUAUUGAGGGACGUUAUUCUGGUACCUUGCUGGCAGGUAUCAAGUCCUGUCUCUGUAACUUAAUGUAACAUCCGAAAGGACAAGACAAAGGUAGCUCAAAUCAGUUAGCCUGGUACUGGCAACAUAGAUGUAACUUAAUGUCUGAAAAGGUAAAAUCGCAAUAUCUUCAAUAAAUACUGAAUCAAGUGUGGCAACAAAAGGUACCAUAAAUGAUGCAUAUUGUACACUAAAGCACAAUAAUAUAUUAAGGAGUAAAGGUGUUGCCAGUAUUUUGAUUUAAUUUGAAUGAUAUCUCUACUUUGCCCCUCUGCUUCUGCAUCAAAAGCCAAAUGCUUUUAUGAAUCACAAGUCCAACCAAUGGCAAAAAAGGUCCAUCUUUAGUUCUUCAUACAAGCUUAAAAUUAACCUUACAAAGAGUCUGUUUAUGUAGAGUACGAGUGAAGAUGGAUCACAAACAGCUGAACAGUUCUUAAAGAAAUACCUGACGAAC